AUGAACGCUGGCGGCGUGCCUAAUACAUGGCAGUCGCGCGAACGGACGAGAAGCUUGCUUCUCUGAUGUUAGCGGCGGACGGGUGAGUAACACGUGGAUAACCUACCUAUAAGACUGGGAUAACUUCGGGAAACCGGAGCUAAUACCGGAUAAUAUUUUGAACCGCAUGGUUCAAAAGUGAAAGACGGUCUUGCUGUCACUUAUAGAUGGAUCCGCGCUGCAUUAGCUAGUUGGUAAGGUAACGGCUUACCAAGGCAACGAUGCAUAGCCGACCUGAGAGGGUGAUCGGCCACACUGGAACUGAGACACGGUCCAGACUCCUACGGGAGGCAGCAGUAGGGAAUCUUCCGCAAUGGGCGAAAGCCUGACGGAGCAACGCCGCGUGAGUGAUGAAGGUCUUCGGAUCGUAAAACUCUGUUAUUAGGGAAGAACAUAUGUGUAAGUAACUGUGCACAUCUUGACGGUACCUAAUCAGAAAGCCACGGCUAACUACGUG
rnacentral:rRNA from 1 species